rnacentral:miRNA from 1 species
UCGUACCGUGAGUAAUAAAGCAU